UGCUUACCAAUGAUGGUUUAAAAAAAAUGUCUGAACAAAUGAUCUCAAAAUGACAUCAUUAUUUUUUCUGAGGUAAGCA
rnacentral:snoRNA from 1 species